UUUUCUGUUUCAUGUCAUUAAGUCAGAGAGAUGCUAAUAUGACGACUGGGUCGUUUCGACGGAUAGAGGGACAGGGAAUAUGUCGAUUGACAGUUGGGUUUUUCAGAAAGAAUUCAAUACAUUUUCUCUCAACCAAUUUCAAAAUCAUUCGACAUAUUCCCUCUAUCUGUCGAAACGACCCAGUCGUCAUAUUAGCAUCUCUCUGAGUU